rnacentral:rRNA from 1 species
ACCACAUCCAAGGAAGGCAGCAGGCGCGCAAAUUACCCAAUCNNNACACGGGGAGGUAGUGACAAUAAAUAACAAUACGGGGCUCAUUUGGGUCUCGUAAUUGGAAUGAGUACAAUUUAAAUCUCUUAACGAGGAACAAUUGGAGGGCAAGUCNGGUGCCAGCAGCCGCGGUAAUUCCAGCUCCAAUAGCGUAUAUUAAAGUUGUUGCGGUUAAAAAGCACGUAGUUGAACUUCGGGGUUUACCCAUUGGUCAGGCUUAAUUGUCUGUACUGGUGAGAUAAAUCUCUACCUUCUGAGGAACUUUCAUGUCAUUAAUUUGGUGUGAUUGGAAAUCAGGACUGUUACUUUGAAAAAAUUAGAGUGUUAAAAGCAGGCUAACGUCUGAAUACAUUAGCAUGGAAUAAUGAAAUAGGACGGAUUGAUUCUAUUUCGUUGGUUUCUAGGAUCACCGUAAUGAUUAAUAGGGAUAGUUGGGGGCAUUAGUAUUCAAUUGUCAGAGGUGAAAUUCUUGGAUUUAUUGAAGACUAACUACUGCGAAAGCAUUUGCCAAGGAUGUUUUCAUUAAUCAAGAACGAAAGUUAGGGGAUCGAAGA